UACAGAGGUCCCAAGCGUUGUUCGGAUUCACUGGGCGUAAAGGGUGCGUAGGUGGCCGGGUAAGUUUGAUGUGAAAGCUCGGAGCUUAACUCCGAAAUGGCAUUGAAUACUAUCCGGCUGGAGGGUCGGAGGGGAGACUGGAAUUCUCGGUGUAGCAGUGAAAUGCGUAGAGAUGUGGAGGAACACCGAUGGCGAAGGCAGCCCCCUGGGUCAAAACUGACGCUCAUGCACGAAAGCGUGGGGAGCAAACGGG
rnacentral:rRNA from 1 species